AUUGAACGCUGGCGGCAGGCUUAACACAUGCAAGUCGAGCGAGCGGCGGACGGGUGAGUAAUGUAUGGGGAUCUGCCCGAUAGAGGGGGAUAACUACUGGAAACGGUCGCUAAUACCGCGUACCAUAGGAUGAGCCCAAGUGGGAUUAGGUAGUUGGUGGGGUAAAGGCUCACCAAGCCGACGAUCUCUAGCUGGUCUGAGAGGAUGACCAGCCACACUGGAACGGAGACACGGCCCAGACUCCUACGGGAGGCAGCAGUGGGGAAUAUUGCGCAAUGGGGGCAACCCUGACGCAGCCAUGCCGCGUGAAUGAAGAAGGCCUUCGGGUUGUAAAGUUCUUUCAGUAGGGAGGCGUUACCCGCAGAAGAAGCACCGGCUAACUCCGUGCCAGCAGCCGCGGUAAUAC
rnacentral:rRNA from 1 species